rnacentral:rRNA from 1 species
GACGAACGCUGGCGGCGGGCUUAACACAUGCAAGUCGAACGGAAAGGCCCUGCUUUUGUGGGGUGCUCGAGUGGCGAACGGGUGAGUAACACGUGAGUAACCUGCCCUUGACUUUGGGAUAACUUCAGGAAACUGGGGCUAAUACCGGAUAGGAGCUCCUGCUGCAUGGUGGGGGUUGGAAAGUUUCGGCGGUUGGGGAUGGACUCGCGGCUUAUCAGCUUGUUGGUGGGGUAGUGGCUUACCAAGGGUUUGACGGGUAGCCGGCCUGAGAGGGUGACCGGCCACAUUGGGACUGCGAUACGGCCCAGACUCCUACGGGAGGCAGCAGUGGGGAAUAUUGCACAAUGGGCGGAAGCCUGAUGCAGCAACGCCGCGUGCGGGAUGACGGCCUUCGGGUUGUAAACCGCUUUCGCCUGUGACGAAGCGUGAGUGACGGUAAUGGGUAAAGAAGCACCGGCUAACUACGUG